CUCAGCCGACCCGGCUUUGUCUGCUCCUUAACUGGAGAUCGAAACCCGCCGGGCUGCGGGGUCUCUCCCGCGCCGCGAGGGGUGCGGGUGGCGAGUCCUACCCUGGAUGCGCUCCCAGGAGAGGUCACCAGAGCGGUGGGGAAGUGGGCACAGAGCUCUCCCAAGUGACCGGGACACAGAGCGAUUGGCUGUCCUUGUUUAAAGAAGAAAAUUGAAGGAAAAUGGUCAACUCAAUGAAGAGGAAGGUGAAGGAGGAGGAGAGAAGGUGAUGAAGGAGCUGAUUACACCAAGUAACAAACCCAAGAAACAGAAAACAGCCUUGUGCUUGCUUCUGGGGUGGGUGGAGAAGUGGCCCAGCUUCCCUCACCACCACGCCACCCUCUUGACUCCCUUGUUGUAUGUCUUGAGACACUGAGAUCCCCAGCCAGCAAGCAAGUAUAUUCCCUAUACAAAGGCAAGAAAGCAGAUCUAAGUAUGGGAUGGAGAACUGGGUCCCUAUCUUCUUUUUUGAAGGUAUAACAUACCUGCAAUAAACUGCACCCAUUUUAAGUUUAAAAUGUGAUACCUUUUGACAACUGUGCAAAACAUUUCCAUCACUCCAAAAAGUUCCCCUGUGCCUUUUGCAGUCCGUCACCUCCCCCUCCCCAGCCACUG